rnacentral:misc_RNA from 1 species
UCUCCGUUGGUGAACCAGCGGAGGGAUCAUUACAGGACUCGCAAGACUCCUAUAACCCUGUGAACUUACUACAAAGCACGUUGCUUCGGCGGUUGUCUCCGGGUGGUUUUUACCCUCGGAAGCGCUAAGCCCGCCGGCAGCCUACUAAAUUCUGUCUCUUUGCGUUGGCAUCUCGAGUACAAACAAAUAAGUUAAAACUUUCAACAACGGAUCUCUUGGUUCUG